GACGUAGGGCGCGAGCGUUGUCCGGAUUUACUGGGCGUAAAGAGCGCGCAGGCGGCUGGUCAAGUCCGAUGUGAAAUCUCCCGGCUUAACUGGGAAACUGCAUCGGAAACUGAUCGGCUUGAAGGUGGGAGAGGGUAGUGGAAUUCCCGGUGUAGUGGUGAAAUGCGUAGAUAUCGGGAGGAACACCAGUGGCGAAGGCGAGGUGCUGGACCCUUUCUGACGCUGAACCACGAAAGCCAGGGGAGCAAACGGG
rnacentral:rRNA from 1 species